rnacentral:rRNA from 1 species
ACGAACGCUGGCGGCGUGCUUAACACAUGCAAGUCGAACGGAAAGGCCCUGCUUUUGUGGGGUGCUCGAGUGGCGAACGGGUGAGUAACACGUGAGUAACCUGCCCUUGACUUUGGGAUAACUUCAGGAAACUGGGGCUAAUACCGGAUAGGAGCUCCUGCUGCAUGGUGGGGGUUGGAAAGUUUCGGCGGUUGGGGAUGGACUCGCGGCUUAUCAGCUUGUUGGUGGGGUAGUGGCUUACCAAGGCUUUGACGGGUAGCCGGCCUGAGAGGGUGACCGGCCACAUUGGGACUGAGAUACGGCCCAGACUCCUACGGGGGCAGCAGUGGGGAAUAUUGCACAAUGGGCGGAAGCCUGAUGCAGCAACGCCGCGUGCGGGAUGACGGCCUUCGGGUUGUAAACCGCUUUCGCCUGUGACGAAGCGUGAGUGACGGUAAUGGGUAAAGAAGCACCGGCUAACUACGUG